UGGGGAACCCGCCCCAUAGUCUGGGAUACCACUUGGAAACAGGUGCUAAUACCGGAUAAGAAAGCAGAUCGCAUGAUCAGCUUUUAAAAGGCGGCGUAAGCUGUCGCUAUGGGAUGGCCCCGCGGUGCAUUAGCUAGUUGGUAAGGUAAAGGCUUACCAAGGCGAUGAUGCAUAGCCGAGUUGAGAGACUGAUCGGCCACAUUGGGACUGAGACACGGCCCAAACUCCUACGGGAGGCAGCAGCC
rnacentral:rRNA from 1 species